rnacentral:rRNA from 1 species
AGCGAACGCUGGCGGCAGGCCUAACACAUGCAAGUCGAACGAACCUUUCGGGGUUAGUGGCGGACGGGUGAGUAACCCGUGGGAACGUGCCUUUAGGUUCGGCAUAACUCAGGGAAACUUGUGCUAAUACCGAAUGUGCCCUUCGGGGGAAAGAUUUGUCGCCUUUAGAGCGGCCCGCGUCUGAUUAGCUAGUUGGUUGAGGUAAUGGCUCACCAAGGCGACGAUCAGUAGCUGGUCUGAGAGGAUGAUCAGCCACAUUGGGACUGAGACACGGCCCAAACUCCUACGGGAGGCAGCAGUGGGGAAUCUUGCGCAAUGGGCGAAAGCCUGACGCAGCCAUGCCGCGUGAAUGAUGAAGGUCUUAGGAUUGUAAAAUUCUUUCACCGGGGACGAUAAUGACGGUACCCGGAGAAGAAGCCCCGGCUAACUUCGUG